CAUGCUGCACUGACUGACUACUUUGAGAGCUGGCACAGGCGAAUGAAUAACAAGGUGGAAGAGCAGUCAUUGGGACUCUGCAUGCUCAUCCCAGAGCUCCUUCGUGAGGCCAGCCUCCUACCCCUCCAGACCAGGCUCAUUCAAUAAGGAAGACCUGAGGCUUACAUCCACAAGUCAUCAUCAGCCAGGCAGGAGGAGCGUUUUGGAGAGAGGCGGAACAGGCGUGAUGAUCUGAAGAGACAAGAAACUGGAAAGGAGGCAUCACACAGAAUAGCAGCAAAACAACAACAAAAAAAACAAGUCCGGGAGUUCUAUAGAAUAUUACGAUGCCGCCAAUGAAAGGAUAGCCAUCAUCAGCAACUUCAGCCUUGACAACACCAAAGGAGAAUCCAAAGUCAUUGCCGAUCACAAAGGGGGUCUGCUGUAUACAAUUGAUCUAAAGAAGAGUGUAUGUCGCGUCCAGAAGUUAACCCUUCCAUUUGCUAAGUUCUGUGUUACAGAUAAAUUCAAAAAAGCCUUUGACUUCACUCUUGGAUUCGGAAGUAACUCGCUGUCAUCAACAAUUUACUAUGAACUCGACCGUGGCUUUGGUCCGCACCCCAACAGCGUGAUAGACAGCUUCGUUGUUGUCUCGAAAGAAUGCAUUCCCUUACAAACAGACCUCUACGGAAAGGAUAAAUACAACUUCCUUCAAUCAACGGGGUUUUCAAACCUCGGUGCAGAGUUCGAUGAAUCUGUCUUUGAUCC